rnacentral:rRNA from 1 species
GAUGAACGCUGGCGGCGUGCCUAAUACAUGCAAGUCGAGCGAACAGACGAGGAGCUUGCUCCUCUGACGUUAGCGGCGGACGGGUGAGUAACACGUGGAUAACCUACCUAUAAGACUGGGAUAACUUCAGGAAACCGGAGCUAAUACCGGAUAAUAUAUUGAACCGCAUGGUUCAAUAGUGAAAGACGGUUUUGCUGUCACUUAUAGAUGGAUCCGCGCCGCAUUAGCUAGUUGGUAAGGUAACGGCUUACCAAGGCGACGAUGCGUAGCCGACCUGAGAGGGUGAUCGGCCACACUGGAACUGAGACACGGUCCAGACUCCUACGGGAGGCAGCAGUAGGGAAUCUUCCGCAAUGGGCGAAAGCCUGACGGAGCAACGCCGCGUGAGUGAUGAAGGUCUUCGGAUCAUAAAACUCUGUUAUUAGGGAAGAACAAAUGUGUAAGUAACUAUGCACGUCUUGACGGUACCUAAUCAGAAAGCCACGGCUAACUACGUG